GACGAACGCUGGCGGCGUGCUUAACACAUGCAAGUCGAGCGGGGAUACGAGGGAGCUUGCUCCUGAGUAUUCUAGCGGCGGACGGGUGAGUAACGCGUGAGCAACCUUUCUCUCAGUGGGGAAUAACACAGGGAAACUUGUACUAAUACCGCAUGAGACCACAGAACCGCAUGGUUUAGGGGUCAAAGAUUUAUUGCUGAGAGGUGGGCUCGCGUCUGAUUAGGUAGUUGGUGAGGUAACGGCCCACCAAGCCGACGAUCAGUAGCCGACCUGAGAGGGUGAUCGGCCACAUUGGGACUGAGACACGGCCCAAACUCCUACGGGAGGCAGCAGUGGGGAAUAUUGGGCAAUGGGGGAAACCCUGACCCAGCAACGCCGCGUGGAGGAAGAAGGUUUUCGGAUUGUAAACCUCUGUCCUUGGUGACGAAAAUGACGGUAGCCAAGGAGGAAGCCACGGCUAACUACGUG
rnacentral:rRNA from 1 species